rnacentral:lncRNA from 1 species
AAAAUAAAGCAACAUAUAUAAAUAUUCAAGAAAUUUACUAGUUGUACUCAUUGUAUAAUCAACAUACAUAUUUAUUUAUAUUAUAUGCAUAUUAAAGAUUAUUCCACUCACCCGGAAAAUACUGAACUAAAGGAAUGUCAGACGAAAGACCCAAAAAUCCGAUUAAGGAUCGUUAGGAGAACCUACAAUAAAUAUAUGAAAUAUACUCAAAAACAAUCAAACAAAAGAUACCAAUGCAUAAAAUAAACCGGGCUUAAUCUCCAAGUUUAGGGACUAAAACGACAAUUUUCCAAAACAGGGACCAAAACGUAAUUUUACCAAAUUUGAGGACCGAACUGUAAAUAUAUAACCAUACUGAAAUUUAUCCAUAAUUAAUCCUCAAUUCUGUCCAGGAUAUAUCAUUAUGCUCCAAGGACCAUUCUGGAACUUUACCAAAUUUUUAGGGUCAAAUUAUACUUUUUGUCAAAUUGGAGGACCAAACUGAAAAUAUUAAUUAUACUGGAAUUUUGUCCUUAAAUCAUCCUCAGUUCUGUUCAGAACCUCAAUUUAUGCCCCAGGGACCAAUCUGUAAAAUUUCCAAAGUUCGGGGACUAAACUGCAACUUUCACAAAUUGAGGGACCAAACUGAAUUUUCGUCAUCUUCAACCUCAAACCCAGAAUUUCAACAGAUCACCUACUGUUAGUUCCAGAUUUAUACCUCAACUUCAUCAUUCAAUUCAACCAUAACUCAAAAUCAUCAUAUUUCUCUAUAAUCUCUCCAAUUCAACUAAAUAAUCAAAUACUCACAUCAAUCAACCCCUUAAUUCAAACUAAUUCAUCAAUAAACUCAAAAUUCAAAACUCUAAAAUUAAUCAAAAACCGAAAUUUAAAGCUAAAGAAAACAUAUUAUACAUAUUCAAGCAUAAUUCUUACCCUUUUACUUGUUUUCUUCAACCUUUUCCUUUUUCCCUUAUUUUCCCCUCUUUUCUCUUCUUCUUCUUCUUCCUCUCUUCUCUCCUGCCGGUUCUCUCUCCAAAUUCAGAUCCUUUUUUUUUUUUUUUCUUCUUAUAUAUAUUUAUCAACUAUUAAUCAAUUACCACAAUACCCUUCAAUCAUUUAUACUUACUCUUUAAGCCACAAAGGGCUUUAUUGUAUUUUCCAAUCUUUUUAACUCAAAAUAUUACAACGCGCUUUUAUUAAUGUUCAGAGCAUAAUGUCUGAUGUAAUACAACAAAUAUAACAAUGAUUCGCCAACAUCCAAAUCUAAUUAGAAACAAUAUAUCAUCUUCCCAGGAAGCUAUAAAAUAAAUAC